GAUUUCCUGAAGAGAAGACCAGACGCUCAGGAAGUUCUCCUUCUUGGUCGUCUCCUCCUCAUGUUUCUGGAGGAGAGCGCGACGCCAUGGUGAUGCAGAAGGAUCCUGACGGUCUGCAGGAUGGAGCUCAGGAGUUGUUAAACGUGGACUGAUGUUCUGGCUGCAGAACACCACGAUGGAGCUCCAUCCUCUGUGUGCACAGAGGAGCAGCUCUCUGAAACAUGGGGAGAAGAAAGCUUUAAGCACUUUAUAAUAAUCAGUUCCUGCAGGAAUCCAUUCCUAACCAUCAGGAGAACAUCAUGAGCUGCCAGCAGCCAGAUGAGGAUGUGACUACCACAGAGAAGCAGAACUGCUCCUGAAUUGUGAAGCUGAGCUGGCAGCAGUGGCCAAGGAAGUGGCAUGGAAGAGAUUUCUGCAGGAAUAAAAUCACAUUUUCCU